UUCCGGUUGAUCCUGCCGGACCCGACUGCUAUUUGGGUGAGGAUAAGCCAUGCGAGUUGAAUGGGAAACCUAAAGUUCCCAUGGCAAACUGCUCAGUAACACAUGAUCAACUUACCCUAUAGAGAAAAAUAACCUCGGGAAACUGAGGAUAAUGUUUCAUAGUUGAAUUGGCUUGGAAAAGUUUUUCGACGAAAGGGGUAAAAAAAAUGGUUUUUAUCUGCUAUAGGAUAGGAUCGUGUUCGAUUAUGGUUGUUGAUGAGGUAAUGGCUCACCAAGCCGAUAAUCGAUAGGGGCCGUGAGAGCGGGAGCCCCGAGAUGGGUACUGAGACAACGACCCAGGCCUUACGAGGCGCAGCAGGCGCGAAACCUCCGCAAUACACGAAAGUGUGACGGGGUUACCCAAAGUGUUCAAUUUUGAACUGUGGUAGGUGAGUAAUGUUCCCUACUAGAGAGGAGAGGGCAAGGCUGGUGCCAGCCGCCGCGGUAAAACCAGCUCUUCAAGUGGUCGGGAUAAUUAUUGGGCUUAAAGUGUCCGUAGCCGGUUUGGUAAGUUCCUGGUAAAAUCGGGUAGCUUAACUAUCUAUAUGCUAGGAAUACUACUAUACUAGAGGGCGGGAGAGGUCUGAGGUACUACAGGGGUAGGGGUGAAAUCUUAUAAUCCUUGUUGGACCACCAGUGGCGAAGGCGUCAGACUGGAACGCGCCUGACGGUGAGGGACGAAUGCCAGGGGAGCGAACCGGAUUAGAUACCCGGGUAGUCCUGGCCGUAAACGAUGCAUACUAGGUGAUGGCACGGCCAUGAGCCGUGUCAGUGCCGUAGGGAAACCGUUAAGUGUGUCGCCUGGGAAGUACGGUCGCAAGGCUAAAACUUAAAGGAAUUGGCGGGGGAGCACCACAAGGGGUGAAGCCUGCGGUUCAAUUGGAUUCAACGCCGGA
rnacentral:rRNA from 1 species